rnacentral:lncRNA from 1 species
UCUGCAAAAUUCCUUUUGCUGUGUAAGCUGUGAGAUAUCGGUGGGCGAGGAUGUGAUGCCUGAAGAUGUGGCAUCUACCUUGAAACAGUCAAGGACCUGAGGAUGAAGCCAGCAUCUGAGGAAGACAGACAGAAAGGAUCUGGAUACAUCAUGAGGUAAAUGAGCUGCUAAAUUAUCCAAACCUGGAAUAAUAAUAAAAUAUGUCAUUUAGUAUAUUUACAGGUAGUAUAUUCAAGUACAUUCAAUGUUAAAGUCAAUCAUGAUAUUCUUCCCCUUCUUACAGCCUGAAAAGUAUCUUGCAUACACAACUGGCAGCACAGAAUCCUGACAAACCUCUCAUCAGAAAUCAACCACAGACUCUUUAUGCUCUUACCAAAAUGCUGGCUUUGAGAACUAAUUAUGAAUGAAAAUUACUGAUGUGAUUUUCAGGUGAGAGACCCUAUUAGACAAAAUUUUGGAUUCAUUUUUUUCUCUUGAGUAAAACAUGGGGAAAAAAUCUUUCUCAAUUUUAUCUUUGAAUCAAACUAUAUCAUGAAAGGGCUAUGUUUUUAUCCCUUACAAUUAAUACCAUGAAGGGUCCAGCAAUAGAAUACAUCACC